AUUGAACGCUGGCGGCAUGCCUUACACAUGCAAGUCGAACGGUAACAGGUCUUCGGACGCUGACGAGUGGCGAACGGGCGAGUAAUACAUCGGAACGUGCCCAGUCGUGGGGGAUAACUACUCGAAAGAGUAGCUAAUACCGCAUACGAUCUGAGGAUGAAAGCGGGGGACCUUCGGGCCUCGCGCGAUUGGAGCGGCCGAUGGCAGAUUAGGUAGUUGGUGGGAUAAAAGCUUACCAAGCCGACGAUCUGUAGCUGGUCUGAGAGGACGACCAGCCACACUGGGACUGAGACACGGCCCAGACUCCUACGGGAGGCAGCAGUGGGGAAUUUUGGACAAUGGGCGAAAGCCUGAUCCAGCAAUGCCGCGUGCAGGAUGAAGGCCUUCGGGUUGUAAACUGCUUUUGUACGGAACGAAAAAGUCUCCUCUAAUACAGGAGGCCCAUGACGGUACCGUAAGAAUAAGCACCGGCUAACUACGUGCCAGCAGCCGCAGUAA
rnacentral:rRNA from 1 species